rnacentral:rRNA from 1 species
CCUACGGUGGGCUGCAGUGGGGGAUAUUGCACAAUGGGGGAAACUCUGAUGCAGCGACGCCGCGUGUGGGAAGACGGUCCUCUGGAUUGUAAACCACUGUCCCCAGGGACGAAGAUGACGGUACCUGGGCAGGAAGCCCCGGCGAACUACGUGCCAGCAGCCGCGGUAAUACGUAGGGGGCAAGCGUUAUCCGGAAUUACUGGGUGUAAAGGGUGAGUAGGCGGCAUGGUAAGCCAGAUGUGAAAGCCUUGGGCUUAACCCGAGGAUUGCAGUUGGAACUAUCAAGCUAGAGUACAGGAGAGGAAAGCGGAAUUCCUAGUGUAGCGGUGAAAUGCGGAGAUAUUAGGAGGAACACCAGUGGCGAAGGCGGUCGGCUGGACAGCAACUGACGGUGAGGCGCGAAAGCGUGGGGAGCAAACAGGAUUAGAUACCCCUGUAGUC